rnacentral:tRNA from 1 species
GGGCCGGUGGCAGAUAUUUAUGUGUUAAAUUGUAAAUUUAAUUAUGGGGAACCUCGGUCUA